AGAAAAAAAUAAUCUAUUUCUAUUGUUAUCUCCGUCACCCUCGCUCUCCUAUCUUCUUCAUCCUAUUUUCUCACAAGCAAAAGAAAAACCAAAGAUCUAGCACACACCCAUAAGUAACCAAUGAAAAUGUUUCAUACCAUCACCUUAAAAGGUUUAUUUUUCAUUUGCGGAUUUCAAAGAAAUCAUCCGAUGAUUUCUUUUGAAGUAGCUCUUAGUUUGUUAAAUACUCAGUUUUUAUGUAUAAGAAAUCUAAGCUCUCUUUAAUUUUAGUAUUUUAAAACGAAUGAAAAGGUGAAGAAAAUUUCAUUAACAUAGUCACUAAAAUCCCUAACAGAAAGAAAUCAAGAUUCACUUUUCUACACCACCUUAUGGAUAUGGUUAUUGAUGAAUUAAUUUCGAAACUGCUGGAAUUCGUUGAAGAGAUAUCAACGUGAUAUGGAAAGGAAGCCGCAUCUCUCAUAAAAAGGUGGAGUGAAUAAUGCUUCAUCAAGUGCUGCCAUUCUUUUCUCUUGCGGAUCUGAACUGUGUACCGUCUCUCUCUGGGAGGACCAUUUGUUCGAGCUACCCAAGUGGUAUUGUACCAUCAGACUGUUAUAUUUUUUGAAGCAGUACCAUCAGAUUGUGAUCAAUGCUCUGUACUUUAUUUUAUUUUUUUACUAGAAUAAUUAAUUGUCAUCUCUCAUGUAUAUUUUUGUUGAAAUUGGAAUAAUAAGAUGUAUUAUCAAUCAUAAAUAAUUUUUUUUUGAA